rnacentral:rRNA from 1 species
UACGAAGGGGGCUAGCGUUGUUCGGAUUUACUGGGCGUAAAGCGCACGUAGGCGGAUCGAUCAGUCAGGGGUGAAAUCCCAGGGCUCAACCCUGGAACUGCCUUUGAUACUGUCGAUCUGGAGUAUGGAAGAGGUGAAUGGAAUUCCGAGUGUAGAGGUGAAAUUCGUAGAUAUUCGGAGGAACACCAGUGGCGAAGGCGGCUCACUGGUCCAUUACUGACGCUGAGGUGCGAAAGCGUGGGGAGCAAACAGG